GACGGGGGGUGCAAGCGUUAUCCGGAAUCACUGGGCUUAAAGGGUCCGUAGGCGGCGAGGUAAGUCAGUGGUGAAAAACUCUCGCUUAACCAGAGGAAUGCCUGUGAAACUGCAUAGCUAGAGAGUAGGAGAGGUAGAAGGAAUGCCAUGUGUAGCGGUGAAAUGCAUAGAUACAGCGUAGAACACCGAUUGCGAAAGCGGCCUGCUAAACUGACUUUGACGCUGAGAGACGAAAGCGAGGGUAGCGAAUGGG
rnacentral:rRNA from 1 species